UACGUAGGGGGCAAGCGUUGUCCGGAUUUAUUGGGCGUAAAGAGCUCGUAGGUGGUUCGGUAAGUCGGAUGUGAAAUCUCCAGGCUCAACCUGGAGGGGUCAUUCGAUACUGCCGUGACUAGAGGUCGGUAGGGGAGUGUGGAAUUCCUGGUGGAGCGGUGAAAUGCGUAGAGAUCAGGAAGAACAUCGGUGGCGAAGGCGCUCUGCUGGACCAUAACUGACACUCAGGGACGAAAGCUAGGGGAGCGAAUGGG
rnacentral:rRNA from 1 species